rnacentral:rRNA from 1 species
AUUGAACGCUGGCGGCAUGCCUUACACAUGCAAGUCGAACGGCAGCACGGGUGCUUGCACCUGGUGGCGAGUGGCGAACGGGUGAGUAAUACAUCGGAACAUGUCCUGUAGUGGGGGAUAGCCCGGCGAAAGCCGGAUUAAUACCGCAUACGAUCCACGGAUGAAAGCGGGAGACCUUCGGGCCUCGCGCUAUAGGGUUGGCCGAUGGCUGAUUAGCUAGUUGGUGGGGUAAAGGCCUACCAAGGCGACGAUCAGUAGCUGGUCUGAGAGGACGACCAGCCACACUGGGACUGAGACACGGCCCAGACUCCUACGGGAGGCAGCAGUGGGGAAUUUUGGACAAUGGGCGAAAGCCUGAUCCAGCAAUGCCGCGUGUGUGAAGAAGGCCUUCGGGUUGUAAAGCACUUUUGUCCGGAAAGAAAUCCUUGACUCUAAUACAGUCGGGGGAUGACGGUACCGGAAGAAUAAGCACCGGCUAACUACGUG